rnacentral:pre_miRNA from 1 species
CGGGGGGCGGGGGGGUCCCUCAUCCCAGAUUGCGGGAAGGCGCAGGUCAGGCCAAGGGACCCCACUGGUGCAUG